AAACCUGUUCAUACAACCUUGCUAACUAACUACUCGUUAACACAUUUUUUCCCCGUUCUGACGUAUUUAUUUAUUUAUUAUAAAUCUUGCAGUUACAUCACACCAGCGAAUGCUCCCAAUGCCAAUGGUACCACUAGUCUCAUCUACCCCUCCUCCGGCGGACAGAUGUACAGGGUGCAUCCGACCACCACUGUGGCGAGCAACUCUACAUCAGCGCAGUCGAUUGCUGGCAGCAACAAUAGUCACACCACCAGCAAUAACAACACUAACAACGCCUGCAUGGACGUAGUGGAUAGUCAUCACAGCGAAGGUGGAGGUGUCAACAGCGGAGGCAGGGACAGCAACUCGUCAAGUGGAUUUUCGCAACGACUGCGGGAGCUGGCCGCUUCCGCGGGCCUCUUAUCGCUGAAGCCACGCCAACCGCUGAAGCCAGUCAUAAAGACGCGCGGCUCACCAGGUCCGGAGUUUCCGAAGAAGGUCACAUUCAGUGCCUUUGCCACAGUUCAAGUGGUGUAGAAAGGAGACGAACGAUGGCUACUAGUACGCUAGCUAGAAAUUAUGGGUGACCAAUAGCAUUUCGUGCGUUGAUGAUGACUACUUGCUUUUGGUACAUUGUUGUUGUUAUUUAUAAUUGUUCAUUUUUUUGUUUAAUGUGACUGUAAACUAUGUAAAAAUUUGUAAAUGACGAGGAUCGCCGCUGCAGUUAUUUUAUGUGUGUGUAUAUAUAAAAACAUUUAAUAAG